AUGCCUUUCACCCUCUCCUUCUUUUCCCAUUUUGUUUUACUGCCUCCAUGCUGUUCCUCUUUAUUUCCAGUAUUUUAUUUCAAGGAGCCAGUUUGAAGUGCUCUCAGCCCAUCUGCUGGCUUGGGUUCGAACGAGGGCUGGAACAAGACGAGGAGGUUUGGAAGCCACGAGCUAUUUAUAGUGUAUUUGUUCUUUCACAUUGGCACAAAACUUUGUUUAUAGUAUCACCUGCAGUAGAAGCCAAGCCAGGGGACCACAGCUCACUUGAUCUAAAAUUGGCUUUAUUUCUUGCAUUUCUUAACAUAGACCACAUGUGUAUGCCUGCUGCCCGCCAGCGUGUGGUUGGUGCUUGCACACACAGAGCACAAACACCGAGUGCUCAUGAGCGCGCAUAUGAAGCUCCCGAUGAGAGGCUCCCACAGAUGCUAAACAAAGCUGCAAGGAGAAGGGAGCUGUGUGUGUGCGUUGCCACCCUAGAAAGGAACGGAUCCCAAGAGAAAUCUUGAAUGAAAAUUUUUCAUUGCAAUUUCUCCCGUCGGUUUUCAUUUGCUCCAAGUAGUAUUUUCGCCUUGGGUUGGCCUGUUGAAAAACAAUGAUCAUUUUUAUUUUCCUUCUGCAUUAAAUAUUUUUUCUUCCUUUCAAAACAAAACAACAAUUUAAAUUGAAACCCAAAGAAAUCUGUCAUUUUAAAUUGCUGUUUUGACAUAAAAGCAUUUCAUUUAUUUUUCUAGCCAAGAAUCGACAUUUCAAUUUGAACCACGACAAAAUUUUUCAUUUUCUUUCAAAGUAUCAAUUACAAAUGAAAAUAUUUUCAUUUCUUCUCCUCAGAAAGUCAGAAUUUUUCAUGCUUCCAAAAUUGCAGUGAUCAUUUGAUUGGAAGAGCUGAGGUUUAAGCAAAGACAUGAAUUAAACAGCAGAACUGGCAUUCAAUUCUAGAAGCUGGUAAAAAGUGUUUCUGUUUGCAGAGUAGAUGUCCGGGUAGGUUGAGUACAUGUAUGAAUACACUGUAUUUAAUAGGAGUACAUGCGGUCAAAGCUUGCUGUGACCUGCAUAAAAGAGUGCUGUGGAUUGGCUUGGAACAGUUGGGUCAGGAUCCGAAUGACAGGGAAGAUCCACCACACGUGCCAGGACAGUGAGAGCUCAAAGAAUCAGGCCAUGAUUAUCAGAGCUGAGUGAAAGUCAAGAGAGGAAGAGCCUCAAGGAUCGUUCAAAGAUUAUCAGAUCAAGAUCAUCACAUUGUACCAAACAGGCUCUCAGUCCCCUGUGUGGGUACACACACCACGCAUGUAUGGAUUUUAUUUUAUCCCGGGCUGCCACAUGCAUUUGCCAGCCUGGGAGAUGCCUCUCAGAGCACUCCUGAUCACCCCGUGAGCCUGAGCUGGUGCGGAGGAGGGAAGCGGGGAUUUAUGCAGCGUAUAUGGGAAACCCCCACAGGGCCCCUUUGCAGAACUCUGGCUUCCAGGCCGGCUGCCAAGCAUUAACUACAAUACUUGCGCUUGUUUUUGACAACAGCACGCAGGUUGUAUUUCACCCAUUGCUAUUUUGGUUUUGGAGUUAUGGCAGAAAUGUCUCUGGGUGCUGGCCUGGUAUAAGCGGAGUGGGAGAUUUACUCUUAUUGUGUAAUGUCACCUUUCAGUCGGUGCUUGCAGUGAAAAUUAUGGAGUGUCACUUGUUCUUUUUAUUAAAUUUCAAGGCUGUGCACCUCUCGUGUGGGAAGUGUAACUCUGUCCCGCUUCUGCUUCGAGUGGUAGCCUCAGCUGUUGGGCACCUUUUAAAACAUGAAUUCAUCUUUUUUUUUUUUUUUUCUUUUUCCUUUCUCUGCUUUUUAUCAAAAUGUUGAGACCAGCAGCAGCCGUUGCCAUGCUCCGAACUGCUGCCUGUGAUGAUGGAUGAGUUUGGCCCCAAAAGCACGGAGAGAUACUGGACUCAGCACAACACAGAUGUUGCAAUGCAGCCAAAUUAAGCUGUUGUGGGAAUGUGCAAGUUGGGCCUUAGUCAGAGUAUCUCAUGCCUGCCUGCCUCGCUGAAAAGCAAGAGCGAAAUAUUAGCAGCUGACCUGGUGGGAUAUACACUUGCCCAAAAUAUUCUGCUCCUGGCUGCAGAUGAACCAGCAUCUGAUCUGCUGUGUGACUUUCCCCAGCAUUUCUGGAGCAAAGGAGUUCUCCUAAAGGAAUCCUGAUGUCUGCAGCCUUCCUAUCACAGAUCUCCAUAAAUCACAGCACAGGAGAUAGUCUAGAGAUGCUAGCUCAUGCUUCUUCCAUAGAC
ensembl:lncRNA